GGCGUGACCAGCAUAUUGGCAGUUUCCCCGGGCUAAUCCCGGCGAUCUGUGGUUUGUUCUUCCAGUUAACUUUGUUCCAAAGGCUCCCGGGGAGGGGGUUUGGGGGAACGGGAAAAGCAGAAGGGAGCCAGAGAAGGGGAGAGGGGAAAAAACAAAGGUCUGGAUUUGGGACCUAGAUAAGGAGAGAAAGUAAAUAACCACCGCGCCCGGCAGGAGCUCAGUGGGUCUGGGCGGCCAGGCGUUAGCUGCUUGGUUCUCGUUGGCUGUUUCGGGGAGCUUGAAGGCCACCGCACCAAGGACACACACCACACACACACACACACAACACACACACACACACACCACACAACACACACACACACACACACAGAGGCACAGGCGCGCUCUCAAUGGAUACAAAAGUCUGGACGUUCUAGGGGCGAGGAGGGAGGGAGGGAGGAAGGGAGGAAAGGAGGAAGAGAGGGAAGGAGGAAGGGGGGCGGGCGGCGGAGAGCCCGGGGCGGGGGAGAGCCGGAGCCCGAGCACAGCCGGAGCCCGAGACCGAGCCGGAGCCGGAGCCGGAGCUGGAGCCAGAGCGACUGCGCCCGUGCCGGCUCCCCUAGCCAUGCGUGCCGCGGGCCCGUGAAGGGAGCCGCUGUGCGCCGCUGGCUGCCAAGUCCUUGCCCCGCUUUUGUCUCGCCCUACAGUGAAUCGGAAGAUGGAGAUGGAUGUUAAGGGAGUUUCUCAGUGCCCGGAGCCCAUCCCCCACUCUCAGGGGGCUGGCGGAGGCUGUCAGCAGCCACCACCACCACCGCCACCGCCGCCGCCACCGCCGCCGCCGCAGGAUGAGCAGCCUGGGGAAAGUGCGGCCGCCGGGGACAGCCACCCAGAGAAGAGACCAAACAGUGAGAAAGAAGACAAAAAGUGAAAUAGUGGAUCCUCAAUCCGCAGAAGCUGACGUCAGGCUCAGAGCAAAUUAUAAGAGUCACCCACUGAAAGCCAGUCCCCUAAAUCUUCCAAAGAAGCAGAUGGAGCCCAGUUGAGUGAAGAUACCAUCAAAUGGCCAAGAACUUUAAUGAAGACCAGCUGCUUUUGCGUGUUUCACCCUGGCUUUGAUUUAGAGGAGCCCUGGAGGAUGGAGUCACCACGGAAAAAGGAACAGCAGAUCUCAGUUUCAACGACCCCGAGACCCAGUCAAGAGGAUAGUGAGGCCUAGGACCAUACCACUUUAUUUUGGACUCAGACAAGUUGGAGAGCCCUCACCGAACCCUCUUCUUGACAUUUAAAAUCUUGUAUUACAAUGUACAAGUUAAAAAAAAACAUGCCUGAGCAUUAUCUGUGUUAAUUUGGAAGAAGCAUCUUCCGGUUCUGAACUGUUUACUUGUUUAUUCUGCCUUGUCUAUUUCCCCCCCUUUCUUCACCCAAGAAAUCCUGAAUAGGAAAUUAGAGUGAAAAUGUGAUUUUGUCCUGGAAACAGCUUUACAAAGGCAACAGUUUUAUCCCCCCUCCAAAUUUUCAAAGUUAUGGUCCUUGAAUGUCUUUUGUCAGGGUCCCAAGACAUCUGACUGCAAGAUUCUUAUUAUCUCCUGGCAUAGGGACAUUUGAAUGAAUAAAGAAGAUCUCAGAAAGUGUUUUCA
rnacentral:lncRNA from 1 species